UAAUUGGUGAUUUUAUACAGUUUUCAAAAUAUAUGUGGGGAUUUGAAAUAGUGAAGACUCUGGCCAUUAAUCUUCUGACCUCCAUACACCGUUCCUAAUGUCAAUAAAAUGGUCAAACCAUACACAAUCUCAAGGUAUCAAUGUGUCCCGGUAUUGAAGGAGUUAAUGGCACUUACCACCAUUUAGAUCUUAAUUGUUAUGACAACCUCUUUAUGAAACUAUUUAGAUUAUUUGUAACAGACCAUUUAAAUACUAUGACAUCUCAAUUUCAUAAAAAAAAAAGUGGUAUUUUAUUAGACUGGACCAUUUAAAAUUUUCCUUUCCUGUUCAAUAACAAAGAGACAAGGCAAGUGGCGGGUGUGGCUCUGGGAUGUUGCUGCCUCGGCCCUGCUUAACUCUCUCUAACGCUUUUUUUGUCACGUAAUCCCCUUGACGUGUGUGUGUGUGUGUGUGUGUGUGUUCUUGAUUGUAGGUGUGGUGCGGGCGACCUUGAAGUGUUUCAUAAUAUGGUUCAUUGUUUCGAGUCUUCUAGCCCAGCCUUGCCUUUCCUGCACGCGUGCGCCUUUCAUUUUGCCUGGCAGAGCGAGAGAGGGAGGGGGAGAGAAGUGGUGGUGAUGGUGAUGGUGGUGGUGGGGUGAUGGUGAUGGCUCUACGUUGCAAGAGUGAAGAAUACAGGAUGAGCACAGAGACAAACUGUAUGAUGCUGUACAAGGCCAUGUAUUUGAAUACAGAGAAGUUGGUGGUGAGUGCACAGCGCCCCUCACACACCACCUGAGGCACACAUGAUAUAUUGCUGGUAUGGGAGGUGAAAGGGGCAGCUACACUGGCCUCAGCCUCGGACAGGGAGAUGCCCACAUGUGCAGCUUUCAGGGCCUGGGAACAAUGGAAUGGAUGGUUAGAAAUUAAAAGCUGGAUGAAGAAUUAUACUAUUAUACUAUUUUGUUCCAUUAUUCUCUUAUAGGUCUUCAUGUUCCAAAGACGUCUUCUUUCUCAAUAUACUAUACAAGUUAAACGAGUGCAAUAUCCAAAUUACCAAGUGUAAACAAGAUAUAUUCACUAUUCCUUGGCACUGUGUUGUGAUUAAAAUGUUCACCAUUUA